rnacentral:rRNA from 1 species
AACGAACGCUGGCGGCAGGCCUAACACAUGCAAGUCGAAGGAGAAGCCGGGCUUCGGCCCGGUGGAAACUGGCGCACGGGUGAGUAACGCGUGGGUAUCUACCUCCGGGUGGGGAAUAACCGCUGGAAACGGCGGCUAAUACCGCAUACGCCUUCAGAGGGAAAGCUCCGGCGCCCUGAGAGGAGCCCGCGUUGGAUUAGCUUGUUGGUGGGGUAAUGGCCUACCAAGGCUUCGAUCUAUAGCUGGUCUGAGAGGAUGAUCAGCCACACUGGGACUGAGACACGGCCCAGACUCCUACGGGAGGCAGCAGUGGGGAAUAUUGGACAAUGGGCGCAAGCCUGAUCCAGCCAUGCCGCGUGAGUGAAGAAGGCCUUAGGGUUGUAAAGCUCUUUCACCUGCGAAGAUGAUGACGGUAGCAGGAGAAGAAGCCCCGGCUAACUCCGUG